rnacentral:rRNA from 1 species
GACGAACGCUGGCGGCGUGCUUAACACAUGCAAGUCGAGCGGAAAGGCCCUUCGGGGUACUCGAACGGCGAACGGGUGAGUAACACGUGAGUAAUCUGCCCUGCACUCUGGGAUAGCCUUGGGAAACUGAGAUUAAUACCGGAUAUGUUCACUUCCCGCAUGGGAUGGUGGUGGAAAGUUUUUCGGUGCAGGAUGUGCUCGCGGCCUAUCAGCUUGUUGGUGGGGUAAUGGCCUACCAAGGCUUCGACGGGUAGCCGGCCUGAGAGGGUGACCGGCCACACUGGGACUGAGACACGGCCCAGACUCCUACGGGAGGCAGCAGUGGGGAAUAUUGGACAAUGGGCGGAAGCCUGAUCCAGCAACGCCGCGUGAGGGAUGACGGCCUUCGGGUUGUAAACCUCUUUCAGCACAGACGAAGCGCAAGUGACGGUAUGUGCAGAAGAAGGACCGGCCAACUACGUGCCAGCAGCCGCAGUAA